AACGAACGCUGGCGGCGCGCCUAAUACAUGCAAGUCGAGCGAGAAGACGUAGCAAUACGUUUGUAAAGCGGCGAACGGGUGAGGAAUACCAUGGGUAACCUACCCUCGAGUGGGGAAUAACUAGCCGAAAGGUUAGCUAAUACCGCGUACGCUCCUUGGACUUCGGUUCAGGGAGGAAAGCGAUACCGUGGGUAUCGCGCUCUUGGAUGGGCUCAUGUCCUAUCAGCUU
rnacentral:rRNA from 1 species